UACGUAGGGUGCAAGCGUUGUCCGGAAUUAUUGGGCGUAAAGAGCUCGUAGGCGGUGUGUCGCGUCGGCCGUGAAAACCUGCAGCUUAACUGUGGGCUUGCGGUCGAUACGGGCAUCACUGGAGUUCGGCAGGGGAGACUGGAAUUCCUGGUGUAGCGGUGAAAUGCGCAGAUAUCAGGAGGAACACCGGUGGCGAAGGCGGCUCUCUGGGACGGUACUGACGCUGAGACGCGAAAGCGUGGGAGCGAACAGGAUUAGAUAC
rnacentral:rRNA from 1 species